GUCUACUGCCAUGCCACCCUGAACAAGCCCGAUCCCAUCGAUCUCGGAAGCUAAGUAAGGUCGGGCCUGGUUAGUACUUGGAUGGGAGACCACCUAGGAAGACCAGGUGCUGUAGGCA
rnacentral:rRNA from 1 species